GGGGAAGCUGAGUCAGGCAGGCAUAGGGGUCCAUCAGGGAUGCCCCUCCUCCUCCAGCCUGAGGUGGGGUCCGGCCAUCACUGCAGCUUUAGGGCAGUGGGGCCACCCACUUACAGAGCUGACCACAGAGGCCCUUCCAACCUGCCCCACAGCUCCAGUUCCACCUCUGCUUUCUACACCUGCCCAUCGCCCCAGGCCUGUCCGCAGAGUCCCUGACCCCCAUGACACUGCCCACUGACCUAGGUGAUCCAGAGUGGAGGAGUCUAGAGUCAUGACUGGGCAGCAGGCGCCUCUCACCUGUUACCCUUUCCCUGGGGCCCUGGUUCCUGGCCCUGUGUGCCUGGUCCCAUGGUUCUGCUCUUGCCCCACCCACAGUGCUAUGCGGCUCCCCGGGAAGCCCUACUUUGCAUCUGCAGGGGUCACCCGGCCUCACUUCCGGAAACUACUUAAAGGGCUCUCCCCGGAGGUCCCCCUGGGCAUAACGGGUGGCAUGACCCCACAUCCCCAGUGAGGGCUGUGGCGUCGGGCCAGAGGCAGGGAUCCAGGUUCGAAUCCUGUCCUUCUGUUCAGCCGUGUCUACUCUAGACCUUUGGCCUAAGUUGUCUCUCCCGGGAAAUGGGAACUCGGGGGCCUACCUGGGAAGAGGCAGGGCGCGUUUGCGCCCGCGGUGCCCGCCGAUCCUGACCCGCCCCUGACCUGUCCUCGCGAUGGCUGCCCACAUCCUACUGCUGAUGCUCCUCUCUGCCUCCGCCCUGGGGGGGCCCGGACUCUGCUGACAGGCGGCCCCGGACCCAGGUUCCUCAGCGCCUCGGCCGCAGCUGCUCGCUAGGCACCUGCCUGACGCACCGCUUGCCGCACCGCCUAUCCUGGGCGCGUGCCCUCCCCGCCAAGGAGCCCUCGGGGAAGGCCGCCCGGGAGCCCCAGGACCCCCUUAGCUACGGGCGUCGCCGGCGGCUUGAGGCCCCCACCCUGCCCUGCCUGGGCCUCGGAAUCCCUAGCCAUGCGCCCGGCGCCAACCCGGGCUUCCCCACCCCUUCCUUUGCUCCGUGAAACCGGCUCCCCAUCCUCUCCCCAAUGUCCUGGGCCGGACAGAAUGCUGAGGUCCGGAGCCGAAUAAAACAAGAGUCCCCGUUGUGUCUGUCUGCGCCCGGUGUCCGCCGGCCACCUGGCCCGGUCCCGACCCACUUUUCCCCUUAUCCAUGCUCCUGGCGCUCUCGGAAGUCCCUCCCCCCGUCUGACUGGCGUUCCAUCCCCCAGCGCCUCCUCCCGGUCAGCUCGCCCUGCGCCUUUCACGGUGGGCACGAGGCGCCUGACCCCAUGCGCUCCUCCCUCCUGGGCCGGAAAGGUCUGGGGAGGCCGCCGCAUGCGUGACCUCGCUGUCCCCACGCUGGACCGCGUCCCCAGCCAAGCCUCGGCCCUCGGAAAGAAAGUAGGAUCCCCGCUUGCUCCUACUUGGGGAGCGUGUGGCGUAAGGCCGCGGGGUUCAGUGGAACGAAGGGCGCCGAAUGGGGGUGCAUUGACCGGUGGAAAGGGGGGCUCGAAUGGAGGUAGAGGAUUGGAUGCUGUGUAUCAAAGGGGCGGGGACAGAGGCCACGCUGCAAUAAAGCCGAGGACCGGGUUAGGCACAAACACGACAGAAAUCCGGGUGUCUGUCGGAUGGUCCUGUGGUGGGCAGAACUCCGGGGGCCGGUCGGCCAGGUGGUGGAGUCGUCCUACUGGGCUUGGACAUACGCAAGCGAAAGACUUAGGUCCUGGGCUCAAAACCGGGGAGUAGGGGGGUGUGGGGUGUACGUCGCUUCGUUCCCAGCAUCUCAUCUGCACAAGCCUGACCUAGAG
ensembl:lncRNA